rnacentral:rRNA from 1 species
GACGAACGCUGGCGGCGUGCUUAACACAUGCAAGUCGAACGGAGUUAAGACUUCGGUUUUAACUUAGUGGCGAACGGGUGAGUAACGCGUGAGGAACCUGCCUCUCAGUGGGGGACAACAGUUGGAAACGACUGCUAAUACCGCAUAGUGUUAUUUGGGGGCAUCCCUGAAUAACCAAAGAUUUAUUGCUGAAAGAUGGUCUCGCGUCUGAUUAGCUAGUUGGUGAGGUAACGGCUCACCAAGGCGACGAUCAGUAGCCGGUCUGAGAGGAUGAACGGCCACAUUGGGACUGAGAUACGGCCCAG